rnacentral:rRNA from 1 species
UGAGGAAUAUUGGUCAAUGGGCGGGGAGCCUGAACCAGCCAAGUCGCGUGAGGGAAGACGGUCCUAUGGAUGUAAACCUCUUUUGUCGGGGAGCAAAGAGGCCACGUGUGGUCAAAAGCGAGAGUACCCGAAGAAAAAGCAUCGGCUAACUCCGUGCC